AUAUUGAUUUUGAUGAUUUAAUAGGGGACAUGAUAAUGGUAAUCUUAUUAAUGAUAAUAAAUAUAAUGGAGAUAUAGUAAUAAAAAUACCAAAAAGUUAUGAUGAUAGUAAUAACUAUUCAAGUGCUAAUAAAACCCAGCAGAUGCAGUGUUAAAUGUUGAGUGACUGAAGAAUUUUCCCCAAUUGAAUAUUUCCAAUUAGUAUAUACCACUUAGGUGAAUAGUGUUUUUGACACAUGUCAUUUUAUAUACCACCUAGGUGAAUAGUGUUUUUGACACAUGCCAUUUUUGUUAUUUAAUUGCUAGAUUAGCAAGUACCAUCCAUCAAAAAAGGUGGAGGGCCUACUAUUUUUCUCUGAAUUGUCAGAAAUAACUAAUUUAAGGUUUCUGCAUGGUAUGUUCUGAAACAAUUUAUUCACCUUGGCAUGAGUGUAAGUGGUGGAUAUGUACUUUUACUUCAGCGAUUAAUUAUUACCUAUCAUUAAUAAUGUUGUUAUUAUUAUCAAUGUUAUCAUUAAAAUUCAGCAAAUGUUUGAAUUGGAAUCAAGAUUGUUAUUAAGACGGCAAGAGUUAAUUAUUGUUGAUGGGCAAUGAAAGCUAAAUCUAUGUUAUCAAAAUAAGAAUACAAAAGGUUAAAAACAGUGUAAUGUACUGUUUUUGUUGAAAUACAAUACUGUCAAUUAAUGAUUCUUCAACCUAG